rnacentral:rRNA from 1 species
UACGUAGGGUGCGAGCGUUACUCGGAAUUACUGGGCGUAAAGCGUGCGCAGGCGGCUUCGCAAGUCAGACGUGAAAUCCCCGGGCUUAACCUGGGAACUGCAUUGGUGACUGGCAGGCUUUGAGUGUGGCAGAGGGAGGUAGAAUUCCACGUGUAGCAGUGAAAUGCGUAGAGAUGUGGAGGAAUACCGAUGGCGAAGGCAGCCUCCUGGGCCAACACUGACGCUCAUGCACGAAAGCGUGGGGAGCAAACAGG